UGGGGAAUCUUGGCCAAUGGGCGCAAGCCUGAUCUAGCCAUGCCGCGUGUGUGAAGAAGGCCUUUUGGUUUUUAAGCACUUUCAGCGAGGAUGUGGCCACUUGGUUUAUUACUCUCGGACUGUGGACGUUACUCGCAGAAUAAGCACCGGCUAACUCUGUGCCAGCAGCCGCGGUAAUACAGAGGGUGCGAGCGUUAAUCGGAUUUACUGGGCGUAAAGCGUGCGUAGGCGGCUUCUUAAGUGGGAUGUGGAAUCCCUGAGGAUAACAGAGGAAUUGGAUUGGAGACUGGGGAGGUGGAGGAUGGGAGAGGAUGGUAGAAUAGCAGAUGUAGCAGUGAAAUGCAUAGGGAUGUAGUAGAAUACCGAUGGCGAAGGCAGCCAUCUGGACUAAUAAUGACGAUGAGGUACGAAAGCAUGGGGAGCAAACAGG
rnacentral:rRNA from 1 species